UCAAGCUACUAAGGGCAUACGGUGGAUGCCUAGGCGCCAAGAGCCGAAGAAGGACGCGGUAAGCUGCGAAAAGCCACGGGGAACUGCAAGCAAGUAUUGAUCCGUGGAUAUCCGAAUGGGGAAACCCGGCCAUCGUCAUGGAUGGUCACCCGCAAGGGAGGGAACCUGGGGAACUGAAACAUCUAAGUACCCGGAGGAAGAGAAAUCAAACGAGAUGCCCACAGUAGCGGCGAGCGAAGAGGGCAGAGCCCAAACCGAGAAGCUCCGGCUUUUCGGGGUUGAGGACCGGCAGAAUCGAAGUCAGGCCUAGUUGAAUUACCUGGAAAGGUAAGCGAGAGAGGGUAAAAGCCCCGUAGACGAAAGGCAGAGCAGAGAGGCCGAGAUCCAGAGUACCACGAAGCACGAGGAAUUUUGUGGGAAGCAGGGGGGACCACCCUCCAAGGCUAAAAACUACUUGGCGACCGAUAGCGCAUAGUACCGUGAGGGAAAGGUGAAAAGAACCCCGGGAGGGGAGUGAAAUAGUACCUGAAACCGUAUGUCUACAAGCAGUCGAAGCGAAAGCGACGGCGUGCCUAUUGAAGAAUGAACCAACGAGUUAUCUGCACUAGCGAGGUUAAGUGGAAGACACGGAGCCGCAGCGAAAGCGAGUCUUAAGAGGGCGCUAGUUAGUGUAGGUAGACCCGAAACCGCAGUGAUCUACCCAUGUCCAGGUUGAAGCGCAGGUAAAAUUGCGUGGAGGACCGAACCGGUGAGCGUUGAAAAGCUUUCGGAUGAGAUGUGGGUAGGGGUGAAAUUCCAAUCGAACGCGGAGAUAGCUGGUUCUCCCCGAAAUAGCUUUAGGGCUAGCCUGAGGUAGUAAGUAUAGGCGGUAGAGCACUGAUCGGGCUAGGGGCCGUAAAGGUUACCGAACCCUGUCAAACUCCGAAUGGAUAUACUGUAGAGCCUUGGAGUCAGACUACGAGUGAUAAGAUCCGUGGUCAAAAGGGAAACAGCCCAGACCACCAGCUAAGGUCCCCAAUGUCGUACUAAGUGGAAAAGGAUGUGGGGUUUCAUAAACAACCAGGAUGUUGGCUCAGAAGCAGCCACCAUUUAAAGAGUGCGUAAUAGCUCACUGGUCGAGAGACCCUGCGCCGAAGAUUCCCGGGGCUAAAGUACGAAACCGAAGCUGUGGCUGUAUACGUAAAGUAUACGGGGUAGGGGAGCGUUCCCAUAGGGUAGAAGUCGAACUGGAAGGUUCGGUGGACUUGUGGGAAGUGAGAAUGUUGGUAUGAGUAGCGAAAAGAAAGGUGAGAAUCCUUUCCACCGAAAGCAUAAGGAUUCCUGAGCAACGAUCGUCGUCUCAGGGUAAGUCGGGACCUAAUCCGAGGCAGAGAGCGUAGGAGAUGGACAACUGGUUGAUAUUCCAGUACCGGUAGUAAUUGUUUGAGCAAUGGAGUGACACAGAAGGGCAGGCAAGCAUGCGAAUGGAAGAGCAUGUGUAAGCGUGUAGGGUGGUGCAUAGGCAAAUCCGUGCACUGAAAGCCUGAGGCGUGAUGCGGAGUGAGCAGAGAUGCGAGCGAAGUUGUUGACCCCACACUGUCGAGAAAAGCUUCUAGUGAGAGAGCUACCGCCCGUACCGUAAACCGACACAGGUAUGCGGGGAGAGAAUCCUAAGGUGCGCGGGAGAACCCUCGUUAAGGAACUCGGCAAAAUGUACCCGUAACUUCGGGAUAAGGGUAGCCACUGUUGUGAAGUCCCACGCGGAUGGAGCAUAGAGUGGUCGCAGAGAAGAGGCCCAAGCGACUGUUUACCAUAAACACAGGUGCCUGCUAAAGCGAAAGCUGACGUAUAGGUGCUGACACCUGCCCAGUGCCGGAAGGUUAAGGAAGGAUGUUCGGAUUAGUCCAAAGCAUUCGACUGAAGCCCCGGUGAACGGCGGCCGUAACUAUAACGGUCCUAAGGUAGCGAAAUUCCUUGUCGGGUAAGUUCCGACCCGCACGAAAGGUGUAACGAUUUGGGCACUGUCUCAAUGAUACAUUACGUACAGGAUAGGUGGGAGGCUUGGAAAGCUGGACGCUAGUCUGGCUGGAGCCGACGUUGGGAUACCACCCUUGAUGUAUUGAAAUUCUAACCGCGAGAGUAACGAAAUCCGGGACAGUGUCAGGCGGGCAGUUUGACUGGGGCGGUCGCCUCCGAAAGAGUAACGGAGGCGCCCAAAGGUUCCCUCAGCGCGGCCGGAAAUCGCGCGAAGAGUGUAAAGGCAGAAGGGAGCUUGACUGCGAGUCAAACACGACGAGCAGGUACGAAAGUAGGGCUUAGUGAUCCGGUGGUACCGAGUGGAAGGGCCAUCGCUCAACGGAUAAAAGCUACCCUGGGGAUAACAGGCUAAUCUCUCCCAAGAGUCCAUAUCGACGGGGAGGUUUGGCACCUCGAUGUCGGCUCAUCACAUCCUGGGGCUGAAGUUCGGAAAGGAUAAACGCUGAAAGCAUCUAAGCGUGAAACCAGCCUUAAGAUGAGAUCUCUCAUAGAGCAAUCUAGUAAGACACCUUAAAGAAGAUGAGGUUGAUAGGUCGGGAGUGUAAGUACAGCAAUGUAUUGAGCGGACCGAUACUAAUAUGUCGAGGGCUUGACUUAAGUGACGCCCUGAUUGUGACGAGCGCAAGCGAAGUCAGAAUUAGAGGUGGCGGAACUUAUAUCGAAAAAGCGACCUAAGGGGAGCGUUUUU
rnacentral:rRNA from 1 species